rnacentral:tRNA from 1 species
UAUGAUUUAGUUUAAUUUAAAAUAUCUAAUUGUCAGUUAGUAGGUGAUUCUUC